AAGAGACGUUGCCCUUCGGGGUAUACCUCCCACCCUUUGUUUAUUAUACCUUUGUUGCUUUGGCGGACCCGUCCUCGGACCACCGGCUUCUGCUGGUCAGUGCCCGCCAGAGGACCUAAAACUCUGUUUGUUAAUAUUGUCUGAGUACUAUAUAAUAGUUA
rnacentral:misc_RNA from 1 species